rnacentral:lncRNA from 1 species
CACAAAAUCUUGCUGCUUUCCUUAAUAUUUAUCUUUAGCUAUUUUGACUAUCUCUAAAUUUCAGUUUUCAGGAUCAUACAAUCUCCUGCACUAUUUGAUCCGGUUCUUUAAGGGAUUAUUUAAUUACAAAAGGGGACGACUUCUUUCCUAUUGGAAGUUUCAGAUGCAUGCAAAUGGAUCACAUAAUCAUGAAGUUCCAAAUGCACAAACUUCACAUAAUUUCAAAUUUAUCAAGUAAUAAAGACAUUAUGAGUUUUCAAUUCAUGUGUGAGAAACAAAGUUGGUUAUUAUUAUAUUGGAAGGAAUAGGGCUAUAGGCUAUAGCUGAACUUUAGCAGAUAAAAUAAGGGUAAUAUAUCAAAGCGCCCACCAUUCUCAUCAAAAACUAUCAAGUGACUACGCGAUCUCCACGGGGACUCAUUUAAACCACUGUAAUCACUAUAUAUAUCACUUGUUAAAUCUUGAAAAAAUACUAAUGAAAAAGUUAACAAACAUAUGAUGUGUUCGCUACAAUCUUUUUAUACUUCUUUGUAACCUUCAGUUUUAGAUCUUUUUGUGACCCAUAUGGCUACACAUCAUCUACUGAUCAUGAUUCCAUUAAGUUUUCUGUUAAUUAUUUUUCAAGAGUUAACACAGUGAUAUAUAUAUAUAUAGUGAUUCUAGUGGCUAAAAUGAGUCUCCAUGGAGAUUGGGUAGUCAUUUGAUAGUUUUUGGCAAGAACGGUGGGCACUAUGAUAUAAAACCCGAUAAAAUAAAGAAUCGAGUAAUGAAAUUGAUGACGAAGCACACACAAAAAACCUAAGUGCAAAGUGAAAUAUAUAUUUGGAAGUUUUAAGUGCAUUAAACUAAAACAGGAAAAUAAGAGGAAAAAACCAUGUCAAAUGUCAAUUUAAGAUAAAUAAAAGGGCAGGGAGAAAAACAAGAUCUUGUAUAAGUUUUUAAAUGUUGGUAUGAAGUAGCUUUGACUGUAUAUAAACAAAAUGGAACCAUAGUGUUCAGUGGUUAGAUUAAGAUUUGAAUUGGUUUGCGUGCAAUUACCGCACACUUGUCGUGGAUGCAACAUUUGCGCCAAAAAAGUAAUAACACUGUAGUGCAUAAGUAAUCACGAGCUAACAUUUUAAACUCAAAUUUCCUGCCCUCAAAAAGCAAUCCAAAAAUUUACAAUCGCAGUUUUGAAAUCUAACCCUAAAAGAGAGAUGGAAGUUUUGUAGGAAACUGGACACCGAAGUUGUAUGCAUAAAACUUACAGUAAAAAUAUACUCCCUCCGUCCCCCUGAGUAGUAUACAUUGGGGGACGGGGACGCGGCACGGACUUUAAUGCUCCUGUAAAAUGUAGUUGUGUAAUU